UGGGGAAUUUUGCGCAAUGGGCGAAAGCCUGACGCAGCAACGCCGCGUGUGUGAUGAAGGUCUUCGGAUCGUAAAGCACUUUCGACCGGGACGAAUACCCGUUGGCUAACAUCCAGCGGUUUGACGGUACCGGGAGAAGAAGCACCGGCUAACUCUGUGCCAGCAGCCGCGGUAAUACAGAGGGUGCAAGCGUUGUUCGGAAUUAUUGGGCGUAAAGCGCGUGUAGGCGGCUUUGCAAGUCGGGUGUGAAAGCCCUCAGCUUAACUGAGGAAGUGCGCCCGAAACUGCAUUGCUUGAGUACCGGAGAGGGUGGCGGAAUUCCCCAAGUAGAGGUGAAAUUCGUAGAUAUGGGGAGGAACACCGGUGGCGAAGGCGGCCACCUGGACGGCUACUGACGCUGAGACGCGAAAGCGUGGGGGAGCGAAACAGGAUUAGAUACCCUGGUAGUCCACGCUGUAAACGAUGAGAACUAGGUGUCGUGGGAGUUGACCCCCGCGGUGCCGAAGCUAA
rnacentral:rRNA from 1 species